UACAGAGGGGGCAAGCGUUGUUCGGAAUUACUGGGCGUAAAGGGCGCGUAGGCGGCCUGUUAAGUCGAACGUGAAAUCCCCGGGCCCAACCCGGGAACUGCGUCCGAUACUGGCAGGCUUGAAUCCGGGAGAGGGAUGCGGAAUUCCAGGUGUAGCGGUGGAAUGCGCAGAUAUCAGGAGGAACACCGAUGGCGAAGGCAGCUCGCUGGGACGGUACUGACGCUGAGGCGCGAAAGCGUGGGGAGCAAACAGG
rnacentral:rRNA from 1 species